rnacentral:rRNA from 1 species
ACCAGCGGCGAUAGUUCGUUGAAUACACUAGUUCCUAAAGAACCACUGAAGUUAAGCAACGUUGCGCGUGGUUGAUAUGUGGAAUGGUAUAGGUAACCAUCUGGGCAGUCACGUGCUGCCGGCU